CCGGUACGAAAAUCACGAAAUUUUCAAUUUAUUCAUCUUGCCAGACAAUUUUCUUUUUCAGAUGUCAUUUGUUAGCAUGUGUUGUUCCAAUGUCAAGGUUACAGCCGCGAGACCGGUCUGAAAUGUACUUGCGUUUAAUACAUUCAUCCCAGUCUGAAUUCUUGUCGGUCUAACGCCCCAGUUACACGAACCGGAUUCGUAUCGGAGCGACAUCAAUUUAAG